AUUGCAUUCAGAUAGUGUCUAUCAAGACAACUCCUUCAUGAAUCAUCAUCAUCUAGUACAACUUUAUAUCUAAUCGAGCGGUGCUACAAUUGCCUGUUAUUUGCGGUGCAUACCAAAUCAUGGUCUUCUUAGCCUUCCUCUUAGAUUCCAUACGUGCUCCUCCCAGUAUUUUUUUUAAAAGAAGCUGUAAUUUGAGAACAGAGAAAUUGUUGCAGUUAUAAGAGAUUCGAAUUUCAUAUUAACUGAGCUAAGCCGCAGAUCCCUCCUCCCGGUAUUAUAACCUCGAAAAAGGCCGGCAAAAGCAGUCGCUGUGCUUUGCAAUUUGCAUCUCUCUCCAAUCAACCCCCCCCAAAAAGAAAAAUCUUCUUGAUUUUCCAAAUUUACUUAACACCUUCGUUUUCUUGUUUUUUCUCUUCCUUAUUUAGCUCCUGGAGCAAUAUUUCCUAAUCAAAUCUGUAUUCUAAUUUAGCCACAAUAAAUGACCAUUUUCUCAUUCAGUUUCUCUGUCAUUUGUGAUGUACUAAAUUAAGCUCUAGUCUUACAUUUCGAUUUAAAAACGCAUCUGCAAGAUUCAAGCUUUGGCUUUUUCUGAUUUUCUCUCUCAAGUUUUGGGGAGCAGAGGAAAGCAAUGACGAACCUUUUUGGGGUUUGGAUUGUUAUAACAUUUGGUUUUUAUCAACUGGUUGCCGGGUUCUUAGAUUUUAAUGAAACAGAGCUCUCUUUUAUUGAGGCUUUCCAAUAUGGAGUCUCCAAACUCAAUUACAAUCCUCCCAUGGUUGGACUCACUCUUAUCCCAAGUGCUGGCGCUAAAGGAGCUGUCUGCCUGGAUGGAACCUUGCCGGGUUACCAUUGGCAUCCUGGAUAUGGAUCAGGAGCAAAUAGCUGGCUUAUUCAGUUGGAGGGAGGAGGAUGGUGCAAUAACAUUAGAACUUGUGUCUACCGCAAAAAAACGCGACGUGGAUCAUCUAAAUACAUGGAAAAGCAGAUACCAUUUACUGGAAUAUUGAGUGAUAAAGCUGAAGAAAAUCCGGUUGCAGAUUUUUUCAAUUGGAACAGAGUAAAACUUCGAUAUUGCGAUGGUGCCUCUUUUACUGGGGAUAGCGAAAAUAAGGCUGCACAACUGCAAUUUAGAGGCCAACGUAUAUGGUUAGCUGCAAUGGAAGAUUUAAUGUCAAAAGGAAUGCGUAAUGCAAAGCAGGCUCUUCUUUCGGGGUGUUCAGCUGGGGGUCUGGCAUCAAUUUUACACUGUGACGAGUUCAGGAACUUGUUUCCAAGAACUUCUAAAGUUAAGUGCCUAAGUGACGCUGGUCUAUUCCUUGAUGUGGUUGAUGUCUCUGGUGGUCGCACACUUAGGAGUUUAUACAGUGGAGUGGUGGGCUUGCAGGGUGUGCAACAUAACCUGCCACGUAUUUGCACCAACCACCUUGAUUCAACUUCAUGUUUCUUUCCUCAAAAUCUAAUCAGCCACAUCCAAACUCCACUGUUUAUUCUUAAUGCAGCUUAUGAUUCGUGGCAGAUUCAAUCCAGUAUAGCUCCACCAUUGGCAGAUCCACAUGGUUAUUGGCAUGAUUGCAGAUUGAACCAUGCAAAAUGUUCUGCAUCUCAGAUCAGGUUUUUACAAGGCUUCCGGACACAGAUGCUUAAUGCUAUAAAAGGGUUCUCAAUGUCUAGAGAGAAUGGAUUAUUUAUAAAUUCAUGUUUUGCUCACUGCCAAACAGAAAGACAAGACACAUGGUUUGCUGAUGAUUCUCCUGAAAUUAGAAACAAGCCAAUAGCAAUAGCAGUUGGAGAUUGGUAUUUUGACAGAGCAGGCGUGAAGGCCAUUGAUUGUCCGUACCCUUGUGACAAGACUUGCCACAAUCUGGUAUUCAGAUGAUUAGUUGGUUCAGUUCAUAUACAUGGUGUAGAAGUAGUAGCAUGUCAUUUGAAGGAUCCUGCAAAUUCAAUGAAAUUGGGCACAAGACAAUAAAAAGAAGGUUGCUGAGAAAUGCAAAUGCAAUCAGCAAAAAUCUUCUGCGAUGUCUCUAUGUGCGAAAUAGCAUUGCUUAAUUGUUUUCCCACUCAGCUGAAGCUAACGGUUGAUGCAUGUUGUUCUUGCAAGCGGUUAUAUUCCCCAUUGAUAUUUCAUAGUGAUACUAUUAUGUCCAGCUUCAUUGGGUAUUGCCAUUUGCCAAUCCCAAUUCCUUAGAAUUAUUGCUAUCAAUUUAAACCGCCUGAAAUUCUAUAGACUGUUGCAAGCUCAAAAUCAGCUUAUGAAAAAUUAAGAGAAUUUUAGAUAACGGAAUAAGAGGAAGAAAAAAAAAAAAGAUGAGAGAAAAAGAGUAGAAGAAGAAAAACAGAGGAAGAGAAAAUUCAAAAAAAGAGAAUGGAUGUCAUAAUUGCAUAACCGAAUGAAUUACAUCCCGCUUAGCUGCCCUUUUUGCUAGACUAAAGGCCCCAAUUCUCGGAUAGCAGCUAUUUUCCAUGCAGAAGACGACAAGUCAGAAGUUUUAUAGAAUUUGAGCUUCACCGCUAUAAUACGAGCAAGGCGAUUCUUUUUGCUAAUCACUGAUUAAGGCCCUCCCUACAAUUAUAAAGUACAAAGAUGACACUGGCUCUUGCUCCUUCUCUCUGCAAAGCAUAAACUAAGGAAAAAUAAAUUGCCGAUUGGAGGGACCGACCGCUACAACUAUUUCUCUUCCACCCAGAUGACGUAAAAGUUUUGGCCCGCCCUAAAGGAACCAUAUGCGCGGUAUCCUCAUAUGAUUUAAUGGUAUGAAUUUUGCCACCUCGCAAUUCACUGUGCUAAUAAAUAUCCUCAUUUGCGUCGACAGGUUAGUUUCUAGUUUCACCAUGUCCUUGCGAUAGUGCGGGUACCUGAUCAAGAAAAAGUUAAGUAAAGAAUGUAGA